rnacentral:rRNA from 1 species
GACGAACGCUGGCGGCGUGCUUAACACAUGCAAGUCGAACGGAAAGGCCCUGCUUUUGUGGGGUGCUCGAGUGGCGAACGGGUGAGUAACACGUGAGUAACCUGCCCUUGACUUUGGGAUAACUUCAGGAAACUGGGGCUAAUACCGGAUAGGAGCUCCUGCUGCAUGGUGGGGGUUGGAAAGUUUCGGCGGUUGGGGAUGGACUCGCGGCUUAUCAGCUUGUUGGCGGGGUAGUGGCUUACCAAGGCUUUGACGGGUAGCCGGCCUGAGAGGGUGACCGGCCAAAUUGGGACUGAGAUACGGCCCAGACUCCUACGGGAGGCAGCAGUGGGGAAUAUUGCACAAUGGGCGGAAGCCUGAUGCAGCAACGCCGCGUGCGGGAUGACGGCCUUCGGGUUGUAAACCGCUUUCGCCUGUGACGAAGCGUGAGUGACGGUAAUGGGUAAAGAAGCACCGGCUAACUACGUG